CAUCUAGUUGCCUUGGAACCCAGUGAAAGGUUGCAGGAAGGUAAGAAAUGUAAAUGUAGGAGGCAAGAUUCCCAGGACCUGCGAGGCACAGACCACAGGUGUCUCUGGCUCUCUAAUGUCUGGGGAGUGCGAGGGUGCAUGGAUGGAGGGACAGUUCCUGGAUCUUGUCAGUGCCCGAGCAGGGCCGAGCAGCCAGCCUCCUGGUGCCCGUGACCCACGGGCUCCGGCUCUCUUCCUAAGGUCCUCCCCGGCCCCCAAUGGGUCCUGGUGGAUACUCAGGGGUGUCGCAUGUCCCCUGGACCAUCGCGAGGGGCCAUCACGAGUGGGUCACAUCUCCUGCCUCCUGUCAGGCUGGGAUUUCCUCUUGCGCAGACAUUGUCUUGGGGCCCUUCUGUUGACCCGUGGGGACAGGAAGUGGCAGGAUCGGCUCCCCAUGCCCCAGGCCCACCUCACCGUUUCAGCGAUGAGACUAGACUUGCCGGGGAGGCUGGAGCCGAGUCCCUGGGGCGCCCUGGGAAGGCUUUCAUCACCUCUAAUGACCCAGUGUCAAUAGCAGCCUGCUAAUAGGUAACCCUGCAUUACUGGACUUGCACUAAUUAGUUGCUAUCCAUAGAGUGCCAAUCCCCAGACGGUGGGCAGGAGGGCCCUCAUAGCAUUGGGGAGACCGCCCAAGGCCCCCAGGCCAUCGCCUCCUGCAUGUCAGUGGGCUAAGGCUCCCACGUGCAGCCUGGUGGUGAGGGUCCUCAGGGAAGGGAGCUGAGCCCCUGGGGCUUGCCGCAGACCCCCACUGGUGGCAGCCAGCCAUGGGGAACCCCUGUCCCGCCCUGCGUUCAGGUUGUGUCUGCCUUGCUGGGUGGUCCUGGCCAGACUGUGAGCUGCCUGAGGUCAGGGCGAUCCCACCCGGGGAUACCCCAGGCAGGCGCUGGAAACCCAGUGGGGAUGGGGACUUGGGUGCAUGCCCUGCUCUCCUGGUGUGUCCCACAGCAGAGCUCCGUGGGUGUCAAGGGGCUGGGCUGGGUCAGAGAGACGCCUGGCACCCGUCGGGGUGGCGUGUGGCUCCUGGAGAGGCGGCAGCCCUGUGGAGUCCACCUCCUCCCUGGCUCUUGGCUCCCUUCUGGUGCUCGGACUGCCCAUCUCAAGAGUGGGACAGCGG
rnacentral:lncRNA from 1 species